ensembl:lncRNA
GCCCAAGGACACUUUGGCAUGUGGAGUCAUGCUGGCUGGGAACCGCCAACCCUACGAUUAGUGGACAACCCGCUCUACCACCUGAUCCACAGCCGCCCCUGUCACUGUGCAGCUAUCUGUUACAAAUGAAUGGGAAAAUAUCCUUGGCAUCCCUGCAAUUCAAGGAUGUUGUAAUUGCCAUGCUGAGGGAGGUGUUGACUAAAUUAGAGAUGGUGCUGGACCAACAAACCACUGAGCUUGCUUCAACUACAGGUGUUCCAGGUGCAGUCUUUGGAUACUGAUGAAGAUUUACUGCCCUGCAAGAUCUUCCUCAACUGCAUAGUCUGGAGCGAAGGAUGCAACAGAGCCCAGAUUACAAGCAAAAACUGAAACCUCUUCACGGCUAAUGCUGCAGAGAUGGAGGUUGAGGGGACCAUGAAGAGGUGGCUCCAGCUGGCAUCAGAUCGAGAGUGCGGGUGCAAGAGGAGACUUUUGAAAACUUUUGCAAAAAGAAGGUAUUUAGAGUGUUUUAACUGUGGACUCUUUGUUAAUUUGUUAAAAUGUACAUAUUAUAGUCUAUUUUUGAUUGUCUAUAAAAGUCCUUGCUGUUUUU